rnacentral:rRNA from 1 species
CCUACGUGUGGCAGCCGUGGGGAAUAUUGCGCAAUGGGCGAAAGCCUGACGCAGCGACGCCGCGUGAGGGAUGAAGGUCUUCGGAUCGUAAACCUCUGUCAGCAGGGAAGAACGGUCAAUGGUCUAAUCAGCAGUGAAUUGACGGUACCUGCAAAAGAAGACCCGGCUAACUCCGUGCCAGCAGCCGCGGUAAUACGGAGGGUGCGAGCGUUAAUCGGAAUUACUGGGCGUAAAGCGCUCGUAGGCGGUAUGUCAAGUCAAGGGUGAAAUCCCCGCGCUCAACGUGGGAACUGCCUUUGAAACUGGCAAGCUGGAGUGUUGGAGAGGAGAGUGGAAUUCCAGGUGUAGGAGUGAAAUGCGUAGAGAUCUGGAGGAACACCAGUGGCGAAGGCGACCAUCUGGACAAUAACUGACGCUGAGGUGCGAAAGCGUGGGUAGCAAACAGGAUUAGAUACCCCGGUAGUC